GCGGACGGGUGAGUAACACGUGGGUAACCUGCCUGUAAGACUGGGAUAACUCCGGGAAACCGGAGCUAAUACCGGAUAGUUCCUUGAACCGCAUGGUUCAAGGAUGAAAGACGGUUUCGGCUGUCACUUACAGAUGGACCCGCGGCGCAUUAGCUAGUUGGUGGGGUAAUGGCUCACCAAGGCGACGAUGCGUAGCCGACCUGAGAGGGUGAUCGGCCACACUGGGACUGAGACACGGCCCAGACUCCUACGGGAGGCAGCAGUAGGGAAUCUUCCGCAAUGGACGAAAGUCUGACGGAGCAACGCCGCGUGAGUGAUGAAGGUUUUCGGAUCGUAAAGCUCUGUUGUUAGGGAAGAACAAGUGCGAGAGUAACUGCUCGCACCUUGACGGUACCUAACCAGAAAGCCACGGCUAACUACGUGCCAGCAGCCGCGGUAAUACGUAGGUGGCAAGCGUUGUCCGGAAUUAUUGGGCGUAAAGGGCUCGCAGGCGGUUUCUUAAGUCUGAUGUGAAAGCCCCCGGCUCAACCGGGGAGGGUCAUUGGAAACUGGGAAACUUGAGUGCAGAAGAGGAGAGUGGAAUUCCACGUGUAGCGGUGAAAUGCGUAGAGAUGUGGAGGAACACCAGUGGCGAAGGCGACUCUCUGGUCUGUAACUGACGCUGAGGAGCGAAAGCGUGGGGAGCGAACAGGAUUAGAUACCCUGGUAGUCCACGCCGUAAACGAUGAGUGCUAAGUGUUAGGGGGUUUCCGCCCCUUAGUGCUGCAGCU
rnacentral:rRNA from 1 species